AGUGAACGCUGGCGGCAGGCCUAACACAUGCAAGUCGAACGGAAGAACGGUAAGUGCUUGUGGUUACGGGGGGGGAGGGGUGGGCGGUGCAUGGGAAUAUGCCUGUCUGCUUUGGAUAAGGUGCGAAAGCGGGGGAUAAUACUGCAUUAGCGCAGAGGAAGUACGGGGGGGAGCUUGGGAUCUUAGGAUAUUGGACGAGUCUAGGUCGGAUUAGCUAGUUGGUGGGGUAAAGGGCUAACAAGGCGACGAUCCGUAGCUGGUCUGAGAGGAUGAUCAGUCACACUGGAACUGAGACACGGUCCAGACUCCUACGGGAGGCAGCAGUAGGGAAUAUUGGACAAUGGGCGCAAGCCUGAUCCAGCCAUACCGCGUGUGUGAAGAAGGCCUUCGGGUUGUAAAGCACUUUUAUUGGGAAAGAAAAGCAGUAGGUUAAUACCUCGCUGUUUUGACGGUACCCACAGAAUAAGCACCGGCUAACUUCGUG
rnacentral:rRNA from 1 species